CGCGUAGGCGGACUAUUAAGUCAGGGGUGAAAUCCCGGGGCUCAACCCCGGAACUGCCCUUGAUACUGGUAGUCUUGAGUUCGAGAGAGGUGAGUGGAAUUCCGAGUGUAGAGGUGAAAUUCGUAGAUAUUCGGAGGAACACCAGUGGCGAAGGCGGCUCACUGGCUCGAUACUGACGCUGAGGUGCGAAAGCGUGGGGAGCAAACA
rnacentral:rRNA from 1 species